rnacentral:rRNA from 1 species
ACAGAGGCCUCGAGCGUUAGGCGGAAUCACUGGGCUUAAAGCGUGUGUAGGUGGAUGCCUAAGUACUUUGUGAAAUCCCACGGCUUAACCGUGGAAUUGCUUGGUAUACUGGGUGUCUUGAGCCACUCAGGGGCUACCGGAACAAACGGUGGAGCGGUGAAAUGCGUAGAUAUCGGAAGGAACAUCAGUGGCGAAAGCGACUUCCUGGACCAGUACCGACGUUCAGGCACGAAAGCGUGGGGAGCAAACAGGA